AUGCCACGAGGGUUAUCUCGCAGCCCCAGAUGCUGGAUAAGUUGGAAGAGACAGAAUCGCUUUCAGAUGACAUUCAGAAAGGCCUUGAAUGAUUAUUUGGAGAAGAAAGGACUAUUCUUUCCAAGUUUUUGGUUUUUUUUGUUUGUUUUUUUGGGUUUUUUUUUUUCUCAGUGCAGCAAUGAUCUUCCAAGAAUCCUUUCUGAGACAAAGGAUCCACUCCACAUCCAGCCACACCUAAAGAAAUGCUCUGAAGGAAUUGCCAAGCUCACUUUUAAUCAUGAGAAAGAAAUUACCCACAUGGAGUCAGCAGAAAAUGAAAAAGUAGAGCUCGUGCUGUGAAUAAUUCCAGCAAGUGCCAAGGGGCUAGUUGAGCAAUGGCUUCAUGAGGUGAAUAUCUUUAGCUCUUACUUAGGGUUUAGUUACUGUAUAAUCAUUUUCUCUUUUAGGAGCAAUGAAUAUCAUAAGCAUAUUUCCUACCUAAACAGCUCUUUGAAUAUUUGUCAAGAUGUUGACAGAUUUCAGCCUUAUUGUUGUUAUUUAUUGCAGCUAAUAUAGCAACUGCAAGUGUGCAAAAAUUAAUUUUAAUAAAAAGCUCUCUGAGCCAGGCUGUCA
rnacentral:lncRNA from 1 species